CCCUGGAAAGGACACAAUGGGACGUGGGAAGACAAGGAAAGAAGAGUAGUUCUGUGCUCGUGAGAGGCGAGCUUCUCUCUUCCUAGGGGCUGCCAAUACCCUGGCUCUCACCUCCGUGGGAAAGAUCCAUGUAUGUCCACGUGUGACGUGCGCAGCAGAGUGAGCACAGAGUGUGAGCGUGCAGAGAAUACUGGGCUCCUGCCUGAUGUCCAGGACUGGUGUCCUUACAACAAGAGAAGAUGAAGACACAGACACACACAGAAGGACGGCCAUGUGAGGACACAGGGAGAGGCAGCUACCUGCAAGCCAAGGAGAGAGGCCUCAGGAGAAACCAGCCCUGCCCACACCUUGAUCUCAGAGCUCCAGCCUCCGGGCCUGAGAAAAUAAAUGUCCAUUGUUGAUGCCAUCCCAACUGGUACUUUGUUAUGGCAGCGCACACACUCACACACCCUCCCAAUGCCUCAGGAAACAGCGACUGUCAUCUUCUCCACUUUCCAGAUAGGGAAAUCAAGGCUUAGAGAAGUGGGCUGCCCCAGGUCACACACUGAUGCCCCAGGUCACACUGUGGGUCAGUGGCAGGCUGGGCUUUUCUGCUGGCCUCUGCAGCCUUCUUGGGUACCUCCUCCUCACGUACUCACUGGCCCCGAGGCACUGUUCUCCAGGACAGAUGCAGCAACCACACAUGGUCCCACCAGGACAGCGCCCCUGCAGCACGGUGGCCUCGGGCAAAAUGCCUGGACCAGGACUUGGACAUUGGGCGGCUGUGUGAC
rnacentral:lncRNA from 1 species